rnacentral:rRNA from 1 species
UAGGGAAUUUUCCACAAUGGGCGAGAGCCUGAUGGAGCAACGCCGCGUGAUGGAUGAAGGCCUUCGGGUCGUAAACAUCUUUUCUCUGUGACGAAUAUGACGGUAGCAGAGGAAUAAGGGUCGGCUAACUACGUGCCAGCAGCCGCGGUCAUACGUAGGACCCAAGCGUUAUCCGGAUUUACUGGGCGUAAAGAGUUGCGUAGGUGGUUUGUUAAGUAAAUAGUGAAAUCGUGUGGCUCAACCAUGCAUCCAUUAUUUAAACUGGCAGACUUGAGAGUGAGAGAGGUAGAUGGAAUUGCUAGUGUAGGAGUGGAAUCCGUAGAUAUUAGCAGGAACACCGAUGGCGUAGGCAGUCUACUGGCUCAUUUCUGACACUAAGGCACGAAAGCGUGGGGAGCAAACA